rnacentral:lncRNA from 1 species
AGAUGUGGUACAUAUAUACAAUGGAAUACUAUUCAGCCAUAAUAAAGACUGAAAUAAUACCAUUUGCAGCAACAUGGGUAAAACUAGAGAUUAUCAUCCUAAGAGAAGUAGGUCAGAGAAAGAUAUCACGAAUGUGGAAUCUAAAAAAUGGUACAAAUGAACUUUUUUAUAAAACAGAAACAGACUUAAAGACAUGAAAAACAAACUUAAAGUUACCAAAAGGGGGAGGUGGUGAUAAAUUAGGGGUAUGAGACUAACAGGUAAAUACUACUAUAUGUAAAAUAAAUAACAAGGGCCUACUGUAUAGCACAGAGAACUAUAUUCAAUAUCUUAUAAUAACCUAUAAGGAAAAGAAUCUUUAAAAGACCAGAUAUACGUAUAUAAGUAUAACCACAUUAUUUUGCUGUACACCUGAAUCUAACACAAUAUGGUAAGUCAACUGUAUCUCAAUUAAAAAAAAAAGAGGGCCUACAGUAGAAUGCCCACCUAUCAGAAGCCUGGAUAGGAGCAUGGGGGUUUCUCAGUGUGGCCAGCAGUGCCCACAGCAGGCCUGGGCUUGGCAAAGGAUGGUUACAUCACAGCUACCACCGAUAACCAAUAACCUGGUCUGACAGUAGCCCACUAAGCUAUUCUUGGAGAUCCCAGGAGAACCCUGGAAUGGUGCUUGAAAAAGACUGGGGUACUUAUUAACAAUUAAUGUUGCAUAGUCCUCCCCCACCCCCGUGAACAGUGAGGCUUAGGGAUGGCUGGUUACAAUGCUCUAACUUAAACCAAAAUGCACCUUGAGUUCCUCAUGCAGCCCUCAUUGAUAGAAGUGUUACCAGAGUUUCUGAAGAUGGGCUGCUUAGGCUGCAAUCUCAGUUCAGCACCUACUAGGUGUGUGCGGGGACAUGGCUGUAAUGCAUUUACUUCUUUUGUAAAAUUGAUAUAUUAUUUGUAAUUGCCAGGGGAUUUGUGAUGAGGAUUAAACAAGAUUCUGCAUUUAGAGCCCUUAGCAUACAGUGCAAUUGCUUAGUACCUGUUAGAGAAUAUUCUUACCAUCAGCAUUCAAUUUCUCAAUUCUCAACUAAAGCUUUAUUAAUGAAUUUUGAUCAUUUUAUUUGACCAUCCAGUGUCUGAACCUCCUUUUUAUUUGAGGAAUCCCCUGCUUUUUGGGUCCUCCUUGUCUUGGAUGCCUGCCACCCCUUGUAGACGGUGACAACAACAGAAAAACUGGGAUUCCCAACAGUUUUUGCAAACCAGAGCACAAGCCAUCUCCAGGACCUACCAACCCUGUGCCUACCUGGGCUUUGACUGAGGAUCCAGGAGCAGAAACCAUGGAGUUCUUUCCCUCUCUGCUGCAGAUUCAAGUUAGUGGCACAGAGAUGGCAGCACUAUCACCCAGGGUUCAUUGGUAGCAACAGAAUUUUCUCCACCCCCACUUCAGCCACACGAUUCUAGAUGUCGCCCCAGGCUGCUUAUCCCCCAGCUCAGUCAUCUGCCUCCCAACUAAUUUUCUAGCUGUCCAGUGUCUUUUCCAUCAAACUUUCUUCUGUUUUGAUCAGCAGAGGUUGGCCUCUGAUACAUAUAACUAAGAACCCCUGCAAUGUAACCAAGCCACAGCCUGGCACUCACACUGCCUCUGCCUAUGAGCACCUUGAGUCACCAGCAGUCCCAUAUUUCUAAAUCCAAAGCCAGUGCAAAGCCAUGACUCAUGAGGCCCUGGUGUCUUCUCACUUGUGUUACUGAGUCUCCCCUCAGCCCAGCCUCCACAAUAGUCAAAGAAAUGCUUAUAGAAACACAGAUCUGGAUCACCACCCCCUCCCCCUGGGUCCUCAGUUUCUUCAAAGUACUAACAGCUCCCAGUACAUCCAUGGUCUCUUCUGACCACUUCUUUGUUACAUUUCCUUCCCACCUAGCCUUGACCCUCAACACACAAACACCCACCUGGACAGACAUGCCAUGUCCCGCCACUUAUAUUUCACAGGAACUGCUCAAGCACUAAGUUAUACUCCUCCUUUAUCCAGAAAGGCUUAAUUCAGAAGUCAACACCUCCAAGAAGCCUUCUCUUCCUCAGAUGAGUUAGGUAUUAGUGUCUCCUGGACAUACAUUUAUUGACGCAAUUUUCAAACUCCUUGAUAAUUGCCCAUGUCUUUGUGUAAGUCUACCCUGUGUCCCCCUGAUAAGGAUUCUGCUCUUCCUGUCUGUACCCCCAGUGCCUAGAGAGGGGUGAGAGUUUUGUCAGUGUCUCCUGAGUUACUUUAGAGUCAUUGCUAUGCCAAGCUCCCAUCCUCUCCCGGGUCCCCUCAGCCCUAUGUUUCAGCAUCUAAGUCUUUUUUUUUUUUUUUAAUCUUUUUAGGGCCAUACCCAUGACACUUGGAAGUUCCAAGGCUAGGGGUCGAAUUGGAGCUAGAGCUGCUGGCCUAUGCCACAGCCAUAGCCACAGCAAUGCAGGAUCUGAGCCACAUCUGUGACCUGUACCAUAGCUCACAGCAACGCCAGAUGCUUAACCCACUGAGUGAAGCCAGGGAUCAGUCCCACAUCCUCACAGAUACUAGUCGGGUUCCUUAAUGCUGAGCCCUGACAGGAACUCCCAUUAGUCUUUUCAGUGGUUCUUGAUGAGCACGUCUUGUCCAUCUUGGGCAUUACAGCCCAAGGUCAUAUAUCCAGUGUUUGUGAACCUGGAUUUAAUCUGAGUCCACAAAGUGAGCUGGAAUCCUGUGCUGCUCAUGUUGACCACACUGCAGAAUUGUGGAAAUUCUGUCCAAACCCCUUUGGUGAUUCUCCUACUCCUUUUCUCCCCCCAGGAUGAGUGCUGCCCAUCAGUCCCUGCCCACAAAGCCUCCUUAAGCACAGGAUCUCAGAGCUAUCUGACCAUCUUCAGAGUAAGAGAGUGGGAUACCAAACUCUCCUGCAGUGCCCAAGAGAGGUCAACUGUAUGACAGGGCUGGAAGGGGCAGGUAAAGUUGGCCCCAGACCAGGUACCCAGAACUCUGGACCCUUUUCCUAGUGGCCCAGUUCUUUUCCUGUGGUUUCCUGGCUGUGUCUAGGACCUUUCCAUCCCCAAGGAAAUCAGGAAAAGAAGGCACAUAGCAGCUGCAAGUAUGUGUGUAGAAGAGGUGCAGAGGUGUGUGAACUUACUCACUUAUGUCUACACUCCAGAGCUUAAAGAAAGGUUUUAAAGCAACUUAAAACAAAAAUUACCUCCUCCUAUCUUUACCCUUCCUUUCCACUCUGCAUCUGGCGUCACCAGAAGUGCAGCUUGGUUGGCCCCCAAAGCACUGUGCCCAGGAUUCUAAUUAUUCCACCCAGUGGCAGUUCAUCUCCAUCCCUCUUCUUCCAUUCUCUUCUGUUGGCUGUGAAAUGAGGCAGACUUGGGUCCCCACAUGGUUCCUCUCAGUCUCAGCUUAUUCAUCUGUAAAAUGGGAUCAAUAAUACUUCUUUUGCAAAACUGGUAAUGGGAUGACCAUUUUAGGGCUUUAAAAGACAUCCUAUAAAUGUUGGUCCUUCUCUUUUCUUAACUUUGAUCCUGGCAGCCUAAGGCUCACAGUAUGGAGGGCCAUGUGUGGCUGCAGCCCAGGAAGGUUCAGCACUAAUAGAUAAGAUAGAGGGAGGGAGGAGCCGGUGGACUGGCAAGGAUGCCAGGGAUGAAAAAUGAUUGAGCCAUUUUGUAGUAGAGGAUGAUGCUCCCGGGCUUGGAGGAGUGGUCCCUGGGCCACACCCUUCAUAAAGCAUCAGGAAAUGCCUAUCCACAUCAAAGCAGUCAAUUCCUUGGUCUCUGCAUCUUUAAAUCAUAAACCCAAUCAAUACUGGACUCGGAAAGUUACAGCAGCCCUUCAUCCAGAGGCUCCUAGGGGGACCACAAACAAGACAGGUUGCCAGCCCACUCCUGCAGAUGGAUCAGCAUCUGAUGGAUGGAGCUGCACUCCUUGAGUCCUGUUGCAUUCUGGGAGUCAGGGGGCAAAACUGUGUACCCAUUAGUAACAUCUCCAUUUCUUUGGUGGUUUUGCAUGACAGGGUGACAGAACCCAACCAGAGCUAUGUGAUCUUGUACAAGUGAAACUGAAUUUCCACCUUCUUAGGUCAGAUUCCCUGAAGGCAGAGCUUGCCAGAUCCUUUGAUAUGCCAAUACCCUCAGUAACACUUUGUAUGUCUAAAUACCUAUAGUUUGUGCAGGUUUGGAUACAAACAUCUCAUCUAAAUCCCAACAGCAUCAUUUUGUGAAGUGGAUAGAGCAAGAAAGUUUUUCUUCAUUUGAAAAAGUAGAAAAUAAGAUUCAGAAAGAAUAAGUAGCUUCCUGCUAGGAACUCUCAGGCCUAGAACUCCAGCACUUGUCACAGUCAAGACUCCAACACCGGUUUUCUCCUUUAAAUUUUUACUACUGGAUGGUUCUGCUUCUCUGACACCCUGCACUUUAAAGUUAUCAGAGCAUUCAGCUCAUUGGCUUAACAGUCACGUCACCUAGACUGACAUGUCUCUUGCUCAUGUGCAUAUCUCCAGUGUCUAGUAUAAUCCUGCUUUCUACAUGAACUCCAUUGAUUGAAGCAAUGGUAGAUGCACCUGAGAAGUGACCAAGAACAGGCCAUGCAUGGCCUCAAAUGCCAGGCAAAGGAAAUUAUACUUAAUCCCAUAGAGUGGAGAUCAACCGAAGGUCUUAGGAAGGGCUGUAGGAUAAUCAGAUUCGCAUAACAGAAUCUGUAUAGGUCUGUGUGGAAGACGGCACGAAGACACCUUCCAUCACUGUUUUAACAUAUGACAAUGCAACAAACAUGAGAGAGGUUUGCUGAAGAAGCUGUAUUAUUCUAGGGGACCUUGGGGAGGGAAGAGAGGGUUAGAUCCAGAAUUCUCUAACCUAGAUUUCAGAACCAUUCAUGAAAGAUCACUUCCCCACCCCCUCCAGCCUUAUGCACCUUACUUCGUGUUUUGUACCCCAGUCAUUUCAAGCUACUUACACUUCCUGAAAAGGCCACACUAAUUCCAGACACCACACUUUUGCCUGCAGUGCCUUCCAUUCUCAUCUCCUUGGGAAGUUCCUACUCAGGUGUAUAAUAUGUAGGGCAAAUUCUAGGUCUCUUUCUGUCACGUAGCCCACUCCCUAAAGCACUGCUGAUGGGAUAGGUUAGUUUUAAGGACAUUUAUUGGGACUCAUUGUGGAACUUUUGGUGUAACCAAGGAAGGUCAAACCUCUAAGCCUUUGGGAAGCCCAGUAGCCAGAAUGCAUAGUCAAGAGUUUAAUUGGAGAUUUUUCAGUACAGAAAAAAAAUGAAAUUAAACAAUCUUGAGCAAGUUUCUCUAGAAGUUAGGCUGUGAAAUAUCAUUCAUAUUUUCCAGCAUAUUCUGGGUUACAUUUGUAGCUCUGGUGGUCAGUUUUAUGUGCUAUUUUUGACUAUGCUCUAUCCCAGGUUAUUCAAGCAAAAACUAAUCUAGGUAGAUGUGAUAAGCAUCUAUAAGCAGUGGACCUCAUGUAAAGGAGAUUAUCCUUAGUAAUCCAGAUGGGCUCCCUUCAAUCAGUUGAAAGGCUUCAAGAAAAGACCUGAGGCUUUCCUGACAAAGAGGACAUUCUGCCUGUCAACAGCAGUAUUUGCUCCCACCUGACAGCUCCAGUCCACUCUUCCUGGCAGCCUGCCCUCUAGGUUUUGAACAUCCCUGGCCAUGUCCCACAAUUGAAUAAGCCAAUUCCUUACAAUAAAUCUUUGAAUACAUACACAUCCUCCUGAUUCUUUUUCUGUAGCUGACCCUGACUGAUACAGUGGUCCUCAUCAAUGAAGCACAGUAACCAUCUUUGAGAGAGUCCCUGGACCGUUAUUCACAGAUGGCACAGACAGAACAUGAUGCAGCAUCAUGAGUAAUGAUAAGACCAGCAUUAAAUAGGUGGCUUUAGGGAACUGCAGAGGCAAGAAGAUCUAUUUUGUCUCAAUACAAGAGGUUUCUAAAAGUCAUGGCACUGUGAGUGUGGCUAUCUUUUUCUUAGAGUGGGACAUAUGAAAUUACCAAGGAAUGGUGCAUUUCACAAUAAAGAACAUGAACAGAUGGUUUUUAGACCUAAAAAGGAAGAGUUAGUGCCUGGAGCCCACAAAGAAUCUUCACAUGCACAUGAUUCAACUUAUUAUUGUUUAUUAUUUAUUAUUAUAAUGUUUAUAUUUAUUUGAUAAUUUUCUAAUAAUAACUACUUAGAAUUGUUUCAAAUUGUUUAUAUAGACAGGGACCCUGCAAAGAAUAUUUUCAUGGAGCCCACACUCUAAGGGUGUUCAUGUCUUCCCCUUCUGCACCUGUUUCCCCCUUAGAAGAAUUUGACUGGUUCUCCUUCAGAGUUCCUUCCAGCUCUAAUAGUCUGAUUCAUUUCCCAAGGAAUUCAAAGCACCUUUGAUCUAGAGUUAGAAGAACUUUCAGGCCAGCAGGUGGGGUUUUAAAUUUGGCUUAAAGGAAAUGCUCCCUUCUCCUCUUGUCCAUCCAGGGCCUCUUGCUCAAUUCAAAGAGGGGAUGUCAUGGCUCCAUUCUCUGACCGAGAACAUUCUCCUAAAGACCUCUCCCACCUGGACUCUAUGGCAUAUAGCUAGCCCAGGCCAGGGGGUGAAGUUGGGUUAGAGCACCAGCCUUACAUCUUCGCUUCCUCUAUAAAUUCUAUCUGGUCCUUCUAUGCUGGUAGGACACAGAUAUUUUACUUAAACUUGACCUUAAAGCAGUAUAGCCACUGCUGCAAGCAUCUCCACACACAAUGCCCUGAUUCCUGCCUAGAACUCACACUUGCACAUGAACGAGCACAUGAAAGGAAUGCUUGGCUGAGACUCAGGUGCUCCAAGUCCAGCUCUCCCCAUAAUUAGCAACGUGAAACUGGACCUCAGUUUCUUCAUCUACUAAAGUGGGAAAAUUAGACUAAGACAUUAAGGUUCCUUUCAGUUCUCACGUGCUGUGUUUUUUUUUUAAAUAUGUAAAAUAAAUUUGAAAGAACAUACAAAUAAUAAUUUAACAUAGUUACCAUAUUCCUUCCACUUGGGGUGUGUGUGUGUGUGUGUGUACGUAUUUGUGUGCAUGUGUGUAUAUAUUUAGUUUAAUUUUUGUAGGUAAAAUAUUCUUUUUUAAAAAGUGAAGAAAUCAAGCAUAUAUGAUGCUUUUGGUACCUAGGGGGACAUCUGAAUCAGCAGUUUUUAAUGGCAGUCCUUGGUCUUGAUUGGUUCACAGAUGUGUUUGCUUUGGUCAAUAUAUAUAUAUAUGUCUUUCAAUGGGGCAUGUGUUCCCCUGGUUCCCAUUAUAGUCCCUCUCCCCCCGACUCCCUAUCUACCACACUUCACUCAUAGGUACACAACCCAUCAGGGCCCCAAAGGCAUUUGAGUUUUGUGAACAUCAAUUUAUUAUGCCUACCUGAGAACAGAAAUAUGAUGAGUCUUUCCUAUCCCUUUCCCAUUUCGCCUCCACUGUAUCUCCCCAGAGGUAUUACACAGACAGUGAAGCACUUAGAAGUUUGUUUUUCAUGCUGUGGAUUAAUUUUAUCCCGACAUAACACAAGCAGAACAUGGGCUUGGAAUGAAAAUCUUGAGGCCAGAUUCCAGCUCUAUACUUGACUUCUUCACUCAGAGCCUUCAUUCUUCAUUUACCAGGCCAGAGAUUUUGCAGUGAUCAGCAAAAGCAUCUGGCACAGGGAAGCACAUAGCAGGAGCUCAAUAAAUGCUAAUUCCUUCUCUCCUCUUGGUGCAGAAUCAGCCUGAACCUCUCACCAGUUUCUUCUCCAGGGAAAGGAUCUUGUGGGCCCACCCAGCCUGGGCUGUGAUGCACAGCUCCUCAUUAAGAGAUGUAAAGAGCCUGGAAAUCAAAAAGCUGGGGCUGGGGACAUGGUGGGGGGAGCAGGGGCUGCCUCUUUUGUGUCCUUUGCAAUCACACAUGACCGUGGGGAGCAGUGUUGUGAGCAGGGAACAUGUGACAGUAGCACAGGUCAAAUGCAAAUGGCCGUCCAGAAAUGCCCUAAGGCAGCACAGCUUUUGGCAGCCCCUUUUUUACUAAUCAGGGCAAAGAUCUGU